rnacentral:misc_RNA from 1 species
GAAUUAAGGAAGCUGCAAUUGUUAAAAAGAGAAUCCCAGGCUAAUCCUAGUCAGAUAGAUUGGUUCAAGCUUGUGCGUCUGAACAGAGAUAUCUGUAGUCUGUAGCAUGCAGGAGUGUUCUACUGAUGUCAACCACAUUUGUUCUGAGGUUUGCAUAUGGUGGUUGACUUACAUGACGAUGCUAUCUGGGGCUGGAUGCCUCUGAAAUGUGAUUAUGAGUGAUAUCAGGUUCAUGAUUCCUGUUUCUCUUGACAAUGGAGAAGUCUGAUUUGGACAGACUUGAAAAACAUUGAAGAGCAAAA